rnacentral:tRNA from 1 species
UCCCUGGUGGCUUAGAUGGUAAAGAAUCUGCCUGCAACGCAGGAGACCUGGGUGUGAUCCCUGGGUAGGGAA